ensembl:snRNA
AAAGAAGGUUGCUGUUGUGAGUGAUACAUGCCGGGCAACUUGAUUGCUCUUAGUGCAGAAUUGAAAACAAGAAAUUUUGGAAAUAUAAUUUUUUGGUGGUUGGAUUGCUAGUUAUAUUAGUCCAUUCUCACACUGCCAUAAACACCCAA